GCCGGGCGUGGUGGCUCACGCCUGUAAUCCCAGCAUUUUGGGAGGCUGAGGUGGGUGGAUCACCGGAGGUCAGGAGUUCGAGACCAGCCUGACCAAUAUGGUGAAACCCCAUCUUUU
ensembl:misc_RNA Metazoa_SRP Metazoan signal recognition particle RNA